rnacentral:lncRNA from 1 species
ACAUGCCCCUGAAAUGAGGAUAGUAUAACCUGGAGAGGAGCAAUUGUCAUGUGAAAAAGGAAGUAGACAUUUUUCUGCUCUGGAGAAUCAAACUACAGUAAAAUUUAUAUGAUUAAGCCCCCUAAUUUGGUGAGAAAUCUGGUUAAGUGAAGUUCCUUGAAAGCAGCACACAACUUUUCUCUAAAGCUGUGAAAUUGGCAAAGGAUAUAGUACAAGAAGAAAAAGAGAAUACAGAUGACAUCGGGGGUCCAAGAGACAUUC